GAUGAACGCUGGCGGCGUGCCUAAUACAUGCAAGUCGAGCGAACAGACGAGGAGCUUGCUCCUCUGACGUUAGCGGCGGACGGGUGAGUAACACGUGGAUAACCUACCUAUAAGACUGGGAUAACUUCGGGAAACCGGAGCUAAUACCGGAUAAUAUAUUGAACCGCAUGGUUCAAUAGUGAAAGACGGUUUUGCUGUCACUUAUAGAUGGAUCCGCGCCGCAUUAGCUAGUUGGUAAGGUAACGGCUUACCAAGGCAACGAUGCGUAGCCGACCUGAGAGGGUGAUCCGCCACACUGGAACUUAGACCAGGUCCCGACCCCUACGGGAAGCAGCAGUAGGGAAUCCUCCGCAAUGGGCGAAAGCCUGACGGAGCAACGCCGCGUGAGUGAUGAAGGUCUUCGGAUCGUAAAACUCUGUUAUUAGGGAAGAACAAAUGUGUAAGUAACUAUGCACGUCUUGACGGUACCUAAUCAGAAAGCCACGGCUAACUACGUG
rnacentral:rRNA from 1 species